rnacentral:rRNA from 1 species
CAAGUCGAACGCCGUAGCAAUACGGAGUGGCAGACGGGUGAGUAACGCGUGGGAACAUACCCCUCGGUUCGGAAUAACUCAGGGAAACUUGAGCUAAUACCGGAUACGUCCGAGGUUUAAUAGACCUUGGAGAAAGAUUUAUCGCCGGAGGAUUGGCCCGCGUCUGAUUAGCUUGUUGGUGAGGUAAUGGCUCACCAAGGCGACGAUCAGUAGCUGGUCUGAGAGGAUGAUCAGCCACAUUGGGACUGAGACACGGCCCAAGCUCCUACGGGAGGCAGCAGCGGGGAAUAUUGGACAAUGGGCGAAAGCCUGAUCCAGCCAUGCCGCGUGAGUGAUGAAGGCCUUAGGGUUGUAAAGCUCCUUUACCCGGGAAGAUAAAGACGGUACCGGGAGAAUAAGCCCCGGCUAACUUCGUGCCAGCAGCCGCGGUAAUACGAAGGGGGCUAGCGUUGUUCGGAAUUACUGGGCGUAAAGCGCACGUAGGCGGAUCCUUAAGUCAGGGGUGAAAUCCCGAGGCUCAACCUCGGAACUGCCUUUGAUACUGGGGAUAUCGAGUUCGGGAGAGGUGAGUGGAACUGCGAGUGUAGAGGUGAAAUUCGUAGAUAUUCGCAAGAACACCAGUGGCGAAGGCGGCUCACUGGCCCGGUACUGACGCUGAGGUGCGAAAGCGUGGGGAGCAAACAGGAUUAGAUACCCUGGUAGUCCACGCCGUAAACGAUGGAUGCUAGCCGUUAGACAGCUUGCUGUUUAGUGGCGCAGUUAACGCGUUAAGCAUCCCGCCUGGGGAGUACGGUCGCAAGAUUAAACUCAAAGGAAUUGACGGGGGCCCGCACAAGCGGUGGAGCAUGUGGUUUAAUUUC